AGCGAUCACAGCGAAUCGGCGAGCACUACUCGAAGCUGACUGUCGGCCUAUCCAACAAAUCGUUGAUCAGCUGAUUGCGUGAUAGGAACAUCGAAGUUCGUGUAACUUUUUUGCGACUUGGCAAGAGCUGAAAUUGUCGAAAAAUGUCUCUAAACACAGCUCAUGCUAACGGGGGGGUCCUCAUACAUUCCGGCGAAUGUAUUCUUCUCUUUUCUGACAAUGUCAUGAUGGAAUUUCACGGACAGGAUCAACCUGAGUUUAUCGGAUCAAAACGAGGCAGACUUUUCUUAACUACACACCGUAUGAUUUUCAACGCAAAGGACCAAAAAGAAAGAAUGCAAUCAUUCAGCUUUCCUUUCAUCACAUUGAGCGACGUGGAAUUAGAACAACCAAUGUUCGGCGCUAAUUACAUAAAAGGAAAAUGCCGAGCUCAACCAAAUGGCAAUUGGACUGGCGAAUGCAAAUUUAAACUUCACUUCAAAAACGGUGGAGCAAUCGAGUUUGGACAAGCAAUGUUAAGGGCUGCUUCUAUGGCAAAUCGCAAUGGUCCUGGUUUCGAUGCACCUCCACCAUAUCAACCGCCAACUUCUGACUGGUACGCCGCACCUCCGCCAGCGUAUCAAGCUGCGCCAGGUGGAUAUUACGGCUGGCAACCUCCGACAAAUGUUUUCCCCGAACAACCACCAGCAAAUGGCGUAUACAUGACGGACUCUCCGCCACCGUAUCCCGGCAUCAAUGGUCCUUAUCAAGGUUACGCCAGCGGCGGAGCUGCGCAACAGCAGCCACAGCCAAGUGCUUGGGGGAAUUCGGCGCAACCAAGCAACUGGGGUCAGCCUCAAUCUAACGGAGCUCCGGGAUGGGCGAACCCAGGCUACAAUCCGCAAUCAAUGUCUCAAGGAGAUGCAAAAGCUGCGGAGGCUGCGCAAAGCGCGUACUAUGAUCCAAAUAGGCCUCAAUGCGCUUACGUUCCACCACCCGCUUACUACGAAAGCCCCCCGAGUUACCAACAGGCAACGGAUAAGAAAGAACAGUGAGACGCGUUUUUAGUGAGGGAUCAUUCGCCACGAUUUCUGUACUAAUAAAGAGCUUUCAAAGUCGUGCUUUAUCCGAAACAAGCACACACAUUCCGAUACCUAGCACCGUUGGAUAUAUAAAAUUCUAAUUUAACACAUCACGCAUUAAACAAUCGAGUUGUUAUUCCAGAUUGUAUUGUGCUCCAUGUUAAUCCUGAAUAUCGUUCUGCACACUCCGACAUAUCUGACUGGAUACAAAGAUGAAACAUUUAUUUGUGAAAGAGGCUCGGAGUGUUUCUACUGUAUAAAGUUGAAGAUGUAGACUGACUGCGUCAAAUUAGCAAUGCAAUCCUUGGAGCUGCGAUGUAAUUUUUAAUACUUUUGCGCCUGUAACAUUUACUUUCUUGUUUGCUUAAGGAUGAGUAGACCGCACUGUCAGAAUUAAAAUUUGGGUGAGUAGGAAGAAAGAAAAAAAAAACGUUUAAUGUUGGGAUAAACUGAUGAAACGCCGUCUUGUUAUAGAAAUGAUUCUGAAAAAAUUCGAAUGACGCAACCUAAGAUAUGAACAAUUUGCCUCGAGAUUUUCUGUAUUUUUUGUAUGUUUUUUACACCAUAUUUGAUGAUCUGGCAGGCAAAAAUAUUAGCCCAAAAACAUUAGAAUCAGUUUAAAAGUAUCAGAGUUUGAUCCUUUCAAAUGUUCUGAUUAUGAGAACCUGUUUUACAAAUUAUGAUAUCUUAGUUUGUGUUAUUCUAAUUAUAAGUUACCCAGAUUCAUUGCUAUCAUGUAGUAGGGAUAUUGUUGCAUUCACUAUCAUUCGCGCAAAUAACAUUCUCGAAGACGUUUGAUUUCUCCGAUUUUUUUCUAUUUUAUAAACUUUAUGUUUAUUCAGACGAUAACGGUCCACUCAAACUUGAGUCAUCGUGAGUGAUUAUUUUCUGUAACAUUCUUCGGUGAAGUGAAUUAAAACAGAUAAUUACGACAUAUUAUGAGUCAUAUAAAACCUUGGAUUGUAUCGAAUUUUGGAUUAUACGUCAUUGUUCUAAAUUCCACGGAAGAAAUUUUCUCAAACUACUUUGACCAUUUGGUGAUUGUGAUAAAACUAGUGUAAUUGACUUCAAUGAUUACGAAUCAGCGAGAAUACGGCAGUAUAUGUUGUAAGCACUUUCGUAUUGUACAGUUAACCAAUGCAGUAUAUGUAUUUACUAAAAUAAAAAGCAGCUUGUGUAAAGUCGGCAGCAAUUUGAAGUUUAUUCUAAAUCCUGUCUGACCUCGAGACAUAAUUUUAAAAAAAUUUUAUCCACAAUAAUCAAGUGUUCAAAUAUUUUAACUCUUAAAGUACUUCUUACUUUUUUUUAAAAUACUUCUCAUGAAAAUUGUUGUUUUUGUGGUAACAUAUUGAAAAUAUUCGUUUUAUAAUUGGAGAUUUCAACAAAAUAGGAAAUUGAGAAGCCAAUUCAAUUCACACAUGAAUUCAUAAUGAAUGUUGAAAAAUUAACUUACCGAAGCUUUCUGAGUUAAUUAAAACCUUUGUUGUCAUAAUAUCCUUCUGUUUGAACUCACGUGCGUUGAAAAUCUCUUGAUUGUGUACAAGUCUGAUAUAAAUUAAAUAUUUUUGAUUGUAUAAACACUUUAUUUGAGUGGCGUACAAUAAUACUUAUGUAUAAUAUAAUUAUUUGUAUAAGAAAAAAUAGUAUCAACAGUUAUAUGGGUAAAAUCAAAGGUCAAAGAUUUUGAUUUUAUAUUAUUACGAUUCUUAAAUUGGAAAAUUUAAGAUAUUAAAAAUUUGUAGCACCGUCAGUCUUUCCAGAUACUGACACAUUUCAUAACGAGUUACAUAAAAUUUGGAAUGGUUCUUUUAACGCCAUUAUUAUACAUAUAAAUACUUACUUAUCAAGAGAUUUGUGAAUAUUUUGUGCAGGCAUACAUUAAAUAUAAAUUUUUCAUUUCACAUUGGUCACACAGUUGACAUAGAUUACAGGUACGUAAACAUACAAGUGUGAUUAAAACAACAGGUAAAGAAACAGGUAUUGUACAAGCCUAUUUGACGGAGACAAUUUCUCGUCACUUAUCGAAUUUUAUACAUAUUUUUCUAGUGAGCAUGUUUUGUUUGA
rnacentral:misc_RNA from 1 species